UAAGGAAUAUUGGACAAUGGGCGCAAGCCUGAUCCAGCCAUGCCGCGUGAAGGAUUAAGGUCCUCUGGAUUGUAAACUUCUUUUAUCUGGGACGAAAAAAGGGAAUUCUUUCUCACUUGACGGUACCAGAUGAAUAAGCACCGGCUAACUCCGUGCCAGCAGCCGCGGUAAUACGGAGGGUGCAAGCGUUAUCCGGAUUCACUGGGUUUAAAGGGUGCGUAGGCGGGCAGGUAAGUCAGUGGUGAAAUCCUGGAGCUUAACUCCAGAACUGCCAUUGAUACUAUCUGUCUUGAAUAUUGUGGAGGUAAGCGGAAUAUGUCAUGUAGCGGUGAAAUGCUUAGAUAUGACAUAGAACACCCAUUGCGAAGGCAGCUUACUACGCAUAUAUUGACGCUGAGGCACGAAAGCGUGGGGAUCAAACAGGAUUAGAUACCCGCGUAGUCC
rnacentral:rRNA from 1 species